CCUACGGGGCGCAGCAGUGGGGGAUAUUGCACAAUGGGGGAAACCCUGAUGCAGCGACGCCGCGUGAGUGAAGAAGUAUUUCGGUAUGUAAAGCUCUAUCAGUAGGGAAGAAAAUGACAGUACCUGACCAAGAAGCCCCGGCUAACUACGUGCCAGCAGCCGCGGGAAUACGUAGGGGGCAAGCGUUAUCCGGCUUUACGGGGUGUAAAGUGAGCGUAGGCGGUUAUGUAAGUCAGGAGUGAAAGCCCGGGGCACAACCCCGGGACUGCAUUGGAAACUGUGUAACUGGAGUACAGGAGGGGCAGGCGGAAUGCCUGGUGUAGCGGUGAAAUGAGUAGAUAUCAGGAGGAACGCCGGCGGCGAAGGCGGCCUGCUGGACUGAAACUGACGUGGAGGCUCGAAAGCGUGGGGAGCAAACAGGAUUAGAUACCCCAGUAGUC
rnacentral:rRNA from 1 species